CUCAGAAUGACUGCCUUGACAGUCCUGUUCCCCUUUUAUCAACACACAGACCCAGAAGACCCCUCCAUCCUGCAGCACCUGCCAUGAGCAUCAGGCUCCUGUGCUGUGCGGCCUUUUCUCUCCUGUGGGCAGGUCUAGUGAAUGCUGGUGUCACUCAGACCCCAAAAUUCCAAGUCCUGAAGACAGGACAGAGCAUGACACAGCAGUGUGCCCAGGAUAUGAACCAUGACUCCAAUUACUGGUAUCGACAAGACCCAGGCAUGGGGCUGAGGCUGAUUCGUUACUCAGUUGCUGCUGGUGUCACUGACAAGGGAGAAGUCCCCAGUGGCUACAAUGUCUCCAGAUUAAACACAGAGGAUUUCCCGCUCAGGCUGGAGUCAGCUGCUCCCUCCCAGACAUCUGUGUACUUCUGUGCCAGCAGUUACUCCCUUCCUUCCAAUCACAGAGUCUUCAUUGGCCAUUUCCUCUGCCCUGGGCUGGAACCUUCCUUCCUCUAGUGGCCAGCUCCUACCUGUGCUUCAGAUCUCAGCAUGAUCAGCCCUCCUGCGGGAAGCACUCCCUCCCCUCCCAGCUGAGAUCAACUUUCCUCUCCUAAGCUCUCAUAGAAUCAUAUAUCUGUUACUAACCUUUAGCACCGUUGGGCUUUCUCAGAUACUUGUCUGAUUAUUUUUGUGCUCCACCCAUUUUUAAAAUUUUCUUUUGAUUUCUUUCCUUUCUUUCUUUUCAUUUUUUC